AACAAACGCUGGCGGCGUGCCUCAGACAUGCAAGUCGAACGAUUAAGACUCCCUUCGGGGAGUGCAUAAAGUGGCGCACGGGUGAGUAACACGUAAGUAAUCUACCCUCGAGUGGGGAAUAACAACCGGAAACGGUUGCUAAUACCGCAUAAUGCAGCGGCACCGCAAGGUGACAGUUGUUAAAGGAGCAAUCCGCUUGAGGAGGAGCUUGCGGCAGAUUAGCUAGUUGGUAAGGUAACGGCUUACCAAGGCUACGAUCUGUAUCCGGCCUGAGAGGGCGGUCGGACACACUGACACUGAAGAACGGGUCAGACUCCUACGGGAGGCAGCAGUCGGGAAUUUUGGGCAAUGGGCGAAAGCCUGACCCAGCAACGCCGCGUGAAGGAUGAAGUAUUUCGGUAUGUAAACUUCGAAAGGAUAGGAAGAAUAAAUGACGGUACUAUUUAUAAGCUCCGGCUAACUACGUGCCAGCCGCCGCCGUAAUAC
rnacentral:rRNA from 1 species